ACGAGGGGAGCAGUAUGAACAGUGUAGUAAUAGAGCUGAGUUCAAGAGGUUGGCUCCUCCGACUUUCAAGGGUCUACGGAACCUUUAGAAGCUGACAAUUGGCUUACAGAGAUGGAGAAAGCGUUCGAUGUUCUAAGAUGCCGGGAUGAUGAAAAAAUUCAUUUAUGCAUCUUAUAUGUUGCAAGGCGAAGCAUUAAUUAGUGGCGGAUGUUAGAAUAUAAAUUUGAGCACGAUGGGAAACCUCUCACCUGGGAUAAAUUUCGAAGA
rnacentral:lncRNA from 1 species